AGGGUGAUAGGUCCAAGUAAACUAUUAAUUAAAGUAUAAGGCCCCGUUUGGAUACCUCUAAAAACGUAGCAUAGUUAAACUAUGCUACGCCGAUAGGAAAAUAAUCCUAUGAAGCGUUUGGAAGAAAAAAAAAUGACGUAAUUUUUGGAGUAUAGUUAUACUAUACUCUAAAAAAUAGAGUAAACUUACAAUCCACUUUAACCAAAGGAAAAAAAUUCCACCAUUUUGGGCUCCCGAAGAUGUAUCAAUUUCUAAAUUUUAAAUUUCAACAUAAAAUUUUAAAUUUCAAAUUUUAAAAUUUUAAAAUUCAUUUUUAAUUUUGAUUUCAAAUUUCAAAUUUCAAAUUUCAAAAAGUUCAAAUUUCAAAUUUCAAAUUUCAAAUUUUAAUUUUAUUUUUAAUUUUUAAUUUUCAAUCUUCAAAAUUUAAAUUUAAACUUAAAUUUUAAAUUUUAAAUUUAUAAAUAUGUAAAUUUAUAAAUUAUUAAAUUUGAAAUUUAAAAUUUUAAUUAUAGAUUUUUUAAAUUUCAAAAUUUAAAGUUUAAAUGGUAUACUUUAAGUUUUAAAUUUUAAAGUUUCAAAUUUCAAAUUUGAAAUUUCAAAUUCCAAAUUUCAAAUUUCAAAUUUAAAACAUAAAAUCUAAUUUAAUUUUUAAAUUUUAAAUUUUAAUUUUUAAUUUUAUAUUUUGACUUUUGAAUUUUAAUUUUUAAAAUUUUAUUUUUAAAUUUUGAAUUUUGAAUUUUGAAUUUUAAAUUUUAUAAUUUUAGAAAUUUAAUUGUUAUAAAUCCUGUGGAAUUGUAUGAUACGUAUCCAAACAGCUUAAAAAUAAAGCUGUGGAAUUUUUUUAUAGUUAUAGGAUUCCGUAUUUCAUUUAGACCAAAACCAUAGAAUAAAAAUUCCAUGGAGUUUUUUAACUAUGCAUCCAAACAGGGCCUAAGUUUAGAGAGUCUAGCUACGGGAAUAAAAGUUUCGGGGGCCAUUUGACAAACGUCUAACGCCUGAGGGGUGUUUAUAUAAUUGGGUGUUCAUACAUUUAUAUUGCCAUUUUUAUUGAGCUAUCAUUUUAAUAAGGGUAAACUUCAAAUACCACUCAUAUAGUUUCGCAUUUUCUCAUUUUAGUACCUUAUGGUUUAAAGUAUAUAAAGUUAGUAUUUUAUGCUUUCAUUUUUAUCUUUUCGUUAGUUUUUUCGUUAAUAUUUCGUUAAAUUAUAUACAAAAAACUUCAAAUAUUCUACUUAGGUUUAUCGAAUAUUCACUUUAGUACCUUUUAGUUUUAACUUUGUCAUUGAUUUAACGAAAAAAAUUAAUAAAAUUGAUAAUAAAAAAAUAAAAAUAAAACUAUAGGACAGUAAAUUGAUAUAUCUUUUAAACUAUGGAGUACUAAAGUGAGAAAGUGUAUAUAUUUGAAGUUUUUCCUUUUAUAAUAAUAACCUAUCAUGUUAAUAAAUUAUAGCAAGUAUUGUUUUUUUUUUUUUUUUUUGAUAGAGAUAGAAAGUAUGCUACCCGCUUCGUUUAUUUCAUUUAGAAAUAAACUUAGCUAUAAAUAAAAAUCAACUAAGAUUCGAACUUAAAAUUUUAGGUAUCAACCACCGAGUCUUUUACCACCGGCUUUGGA
rnacentral:lncRNA from 1 species